GAGAGUUUGAUCCUGGCUCAGGAUGAACGCACAAGACGUGCCUAACACAUGCAAAUCGAAUGAAAAUAAUUAAAUUGUUUUCAUGGUGAACGGGUGAGUAAUACAUGAGAAUCUACUUUUAGAUAAGGCAAAAUAAAAGUAAUAUUUUGGUAAUUCCUUAUAUGCGCAUUAGUGCUUAAAAAGGGGUGAAUAUUUAAUCACUCCGUCUAAAAACGAGCUCAUGCCUGAUUAGCUAGUUGGCGAGGUAAUAGCUCACCAAGGCGAAGAUCAGUAGUUGGCCUGAGAGGGCGGUCAACCACAUUGGGACUGAGACACGGCCCAAACUCCUACGGGAGGCAGCAGUGGGGAAUCUUCUGCAAUGGGCGAAAACCUGACAGAGCGGCGUCAUGUGAAGGAAGAAGGCUUGAAAUAAGUUGUAAACUUCUUUUACUUAGUAUUGAAUACUGACAACAAAGUAAAAAAGUAUCGGCUAACUCCGUGCCAGCAGCCGCGGUAAUACGGGGGAUGCAAGCGUUAUCCGGAAUUAUUGGGCGUAAAGCGUCUGUAGGUGGUUUAGUGUGUUCUUAGUUAAAUUAUGAAGCUUAACUUCAUAGGAUUUAGGAAAACUAUUAAACUUGAGUGCGAGAGGGGUAAGAGGAAUUCUUCGAGAAGUAGUGAAAUGCGAAGAUACGAAGGAGAAGACCAUAAGCGAAGGCUUCUUACUGGCUCGUAACUGACACUGAGAGACGAAAGCUAGGGGAGCGAAUGGGAUUAGAUACCCCAGUAGUCCUAGCUGUAAACGAUGGGUACUCGGUGCCGGAAAUAUUAAUCUUUCGGUACCCUAGCUAACGCGUUAAGUAUCCCGCCUGAGUAGUACGCUCGCAAGAGUGAAACUCAAAGGAAUUGACGGGGGCUCGCACAAGCGGUGGAGCAUGUGGUUUAAUUCGAUGCAAAGCGAAGAACCUUACCAGAGCUUGACAGUAUGUAUAAAAGUCUUAAUAGAGUAUUUUAAAAGUUACAUAAACAGGUGGUGCAUGGCUGUCGUCAGCUCGUGUCGUGAGGUGUUGGGUUAAGUCCCGCAACGAGCGCAACUCUUGUUCGGAGUUAUAUAAUAAAUAUUCUUCGAAAACUGCCUAAACAUAAUAUUGUAGGAGGAAGGCGAGAACGACGUCAAGUCAUUAUGCCCCUUAUGCUCUGGGCUACACACGUGCUACAAUGGAAGGUACAAUAAAUAAAACUAAGCUCUUUUCGUAAGAAAAGAUUAAAUAUAAACCCUUUCUUAGUUCGGAUCGUAGACUGCAACUCGUUUACGUGAAGUUGGAAUCGCUAGUAAUCGCCGGUCAGACAUACGGCGGUGAAUAUGUUCUCGAGCCUUGUACACACCGCCCGUCACGCCACGGAAAUGAAUUGGUCUGGAAAUUUCUGUUAAGAUAUGAUUGAAAAAUUGAUAACUGGGGUGAAGUCGUAACAAGGUAGCCGUA
rnacentral:rRNA from 1 species